rnacentral:rRNA from 1 species
CAGUAGCCACGGUAAUACAGAGGGUGCAAGCGUUAAUCGGAAUUACUGGGCGUAAAGCGCGCGUAGGUGGUUUGUUAAGUUGGAUGUGAAAGCCCCGGGCUCAACCUGGGAACUGCAUCCAAAACUGGCAAGCUAGAGUACGGUAGAGGGUGGUGGAAUUUCCUGUGUAGCGGUGAAAUGCGUAGAUAUAGGAAGGAACACCAGUGGCGAAGGCGACCACCUGGACUGAUACUGACACUGAGGUGCGAAAGCGUGGGGAGCAAACAGGAUUAGAUACCCCGGUAGUCCCUGUCUCUAUACA